rnacentral:sRNA from 1 species
GAAUUAACUGCCGAAGACAGUAGGUGCUGUAAAGCAUAAGUUAGAAAACGCCUACCGAGGAGAUUGAAAUUCGAACUAUUAAUUUGAAUUUGUGAAACCUCUUUGUCUUGACGGAUAAGGAGGUUUUUUAAU